AUGAGCCGCCGCUUUGUGAAUCUGCUCGUCGGCAACUUGCGCCGCCGCCGCCACCGCCCCGACUUCUACCUGCACCGCGUCGAUCCCGCGAGCUUGUUCCACCCCGCCGGAUCACCGCAGCCAGCAGCGGCAGCGACGGCCGGCGCUCCGGCUCCGGCCCCGGCUCGGCUGCCCCGCGCCGCCGUGUCCUUCGACUGGCCCUGCCCUCCGAACCAGACAGGGUGGAUGGAGUUCAUGGGAUUCGGGGACGACGUCGUCGCCCUGGACCACGACGGCCGCACGCUCCUCUACGACGGCACCUCGGGCGUCGUCUGCAUCAUGAACGACGCGUACUCGCCCAGGCCCAACCCCAUCUCCGUCACCGUCGGCGACGGCCUCUACGUGCUGGCGACCAACCCCGGACGGCCGCCCCACACGUACUGUUUCCAGGCGCUCGUCCACGGCGGCACGUUCGCCGGCUCCCCAUGGAAGGAGUGGCACUGGCGCUCGCUCUAG
rnacentral:rRNA from 1 species